rnacentral:rRNA from 1 species
GACGAACGCUGGCGGCGUGCUUAACACAUGCAAGUCGAGCGGUAAGGCCCUUCGGGGUACCCGAGCGGCGAACGCGUACGUAACACGUGCGUAAUCUGCCCCUCACUUCGGGAUAACUCCGGGAAACCGGUGCUAAUACCAAUACUGACCAAUACCAGCAACUGAAGGUGGAGGAAAGUUACGGCGUAGCUGGUUCAGCACGAGGCCUAUCUGCGUGUUGUUGGGGUAGUGGCCUGCCAAGGCGUCGCCGGGUGGCCGGCCUGUGAGGGUGACCGGGCCCACUGGGACUGAGACAGGGGCCAGACGCCAACGGGAGGCAGCAGUGGGGAAUAUUGCACAAUGGGCGAAAGGCUGAUCCAGCAACGUCGCGUGGGGGAGGACGGUCGUCGGGGUGGAAACCGCUUGCGGCAGGGAAGAAGAGAAAGUGACGGUAUCUGCAGAAGAAGCACCGGCCAACUACGUG